UCGAGCGGAAGGCCCUUCGGGGUACUCGAGCGGCGAACGGGUGAGUAACACGUGAGCAACCUGCCCCUGACUCUGGGAUAAGCCUGGGAAACCGGGUCUAAUACCGGAUAUGACGCGCUCUCGCAUGGGAUGCGUGUGGAAAGUUUUUUCGGUUGGGGAUGGGCUCGCGGCCUAUCAGCUUGUUGGUGGGGUAGUGGCCUACCAAGGCGACGACGGGUAGCCGGCCUGAGAGGGCGACCGGCCACACUGGGACUGAGACACGGCCCAGACUCCUACGGGAGGCAGCAGUGGGGAAUAUUGCGCAAUGGGCGGAAGCCUGACGCAGCGACGCCGCGUGGGGGAUGACGGCCUUCGGGUUGUAAACCUCUUUCAGCAGGGACGAAGGUGACGUGUACCUGCAGAAGAAGCGCCGGCUAACUACGUGCCAGCAGCCGCGGUAAUACGUAGGGCGCAAGCGUUGUCCGGAAUUAUUGGGCGUAAAGAGCUCGUAGGUGGCUUGUCGCGUCGGGUGUGAAAGCUUGGGGCUUAACUCCAGGUCUGCAUUCGAUACGGGCUGGCUAGAGGUAGGUAGGGGAGAACGGAAUUCCUGGUGUAGCGGUGAAAUGCGCAGAUAUCAGGAGGAACACCGGUGGCGAAGGCGGUUCUCUGGGCCUUACCUGACGCUGAGGAGCGAAAGCGUGGGGAGCGAACAGGAU
rnacentral:rRNA from 1 species